rnacentral:rRNA from 1 species
GACCUGAGAGGGUGAUCGGCCACACUGGGACUGAGACACGGCCCAGACUCCUACGGGAGGCAGCAGUAGGGAAUCUUCCACAAUGGGUGCAAACCUGAUGGAGCAAUGCCGCGUGAAUGAAGAAGGUCUUCGGAUCGUAAAGUUCUGUUAUUAGAGAAGAACAAGUCAAGGAGUAACUGUCUUGACUUUGACGGUACCUAACCAGAAAGUCACGGCUAACUACGUGCCAGCAGCCGCGGUAAUACGUAGGUGACAAGCGUUGUCCGGAAUUAUUGGGCGUAAAGGGAGCGCAGGCGGUUGGAAUAGUCUGAUGUGAAAGCCCACGGCUUAACCGUGGAAGGUCAUUGGAAACUGUCCAACUUGAAUGCAGAAGAGGUAAGUGGAAUUCCAUGUGUAGCGGUGAAAUGCGUAGAUAUAUGGAGGAACACCAGUGGCGAAGGCGACUUACUGGUCUGUGAUUGACGCUGAGGCUCGAAAGCGUGGGUAGCGAACAGGAUUAGAUACCCUGGUAGUCCACGCCGUAAACGAUGAGUGCUAAGUGUUGGAGGGUUUCCGCCCUUCAGUGCUGGAGUUAACGCA